rnacentral:rRNA from 1 species
CAGGUCACUCCUACGGGAGGCAGCAGUGGGGAAUUUUGCACAAUGGGGGAAACCCUGAUGCAGCAACGCCGCGUGGAGGAUGAAGUCCCUUGGGAUGUAAACUCCUUUCGAUCGGGACGAUUAUGACGGUACCUGGAGAAGCAGCUGCGGCUAACUACGUGCCAGCAGCCGCGGUAAUACGUAGGCAGCAAGCGUUGUUCGGAGUUACUGGGCGUAAAGGGUGUGUAGGCGGUUCUUUAAGUUUGGUGUGAAAUCUCCCGGCUCAACUGGGAGGGUGGACGCCAAACUGGCGCGCUUGAGGCUCGGCGGGGGGCGUGGAAUUCCGGGUGGAGCGGUGAAAUGCGUAGAGAUCGGGUGGAACACCAGGGGCGAAGGCGGCUGCCUGGCCCUGACCUGACGCUGAGGCGCGAGAGCGUGGGGAGCAAACCGGAUUAGAUACCCGGGUAGUCCACGCUGUAAACGAUGAAUGCUAGUUGUCGGCAUGCAUGCAUGUCGGUGACGCAGCUAACGCAUUAAGCACUCCGCCUGGGGAGUACGGUCGCAAGAUUAAAACUUAAAGGAAUUGACG